rnacentral:rRNA from 1 species
AGCGAACGCUGGCGGCAGGCCUAACACAUGCAAGUCGAACGAACUCUUCGGAGUUAGUGGCGGACGGGUGAGUAACACGUGGGAACGUGCCUUUAGGUUCGGAAUAACUCAGGGAAACUUGUGCUAAUACCGAAUGUGCCCUUCGGGGGAAAGAUUUAUCGCCUUUAGAGCGGCCCGCGUCUGAUUAGCUUGUUGGUGGGGUAAUGGCCCACCAAGGCUACGAUCAGUAGCUGGUCUGAGAGGAUGACCAGCCACAUUGGGACUGAGACACGGCCCAAACUCCUACGGGAGGCAGCAGUGGGGAAUCUUGCGCAAUGGGCGAAAGCCUGACGCAGCCAUGCCGCGUGUAUGAUGAAGGUCUUAGGAUUGUAAAAUACUUUCGCCGGUGAAGAUAAUGACUGUAGCCGGAGAAGAAGCCCCGGCUAACUUCGUGCCAGCAGCCGCGGUAAUACGAAGGGGGCUAGCGUUGCUCGGAAUUACUGGGCGUAAAGGGAGCGUAGGCGGACAUUU